CUGUUUUGGCAACAUGUAUAGAAAAAUUGGAAUGAUACUGAGAAGACUAACAUGGCUUCUGUGCCAGGAUAACACACCAAUUUGUGAAGCAUUCCAUAAUUUU
rfam:Erinaceus europaeus unplaced genomic scaffold scaffold00077, whole genome shotgun sequence